AUACCUGCAAACUAAUGAAUAGCAUUAAUUUUGUAGCUAGAUUUUCGGACUCCCCCAGGAUUUGAUCGAACCCGCAAUGCUGAAAUUGGCAACAAAGACAUUACGUUUAAACAUUUGGAAGAAGCCUUCACUUCAGAGCACUGGCUUGUUAGAAUAUAUAAAGUGAAAAGACUAGACAACAGAGAAACACUGGAUCAUAAGCCUAGACUAACCAACAUUUUACCAAAACAGAAGUAUUUGUCAAAAAAGACUGCCAAAAGGAAGCGUGGCUACAUUAAGAAUAAACUAAUUUUAAAGAAAGGCAAGAGACCCAACAGGAAGACAGUUUAAAAACACUGUACUGAUUGCUAAUAUUGAAGCAGUUGUCCUUGAGAUAACCAGCCUUUGCCUUUAGCUCAAGUCAUGUUUCACAGCAACAUGAGGGUACAGAACCAUCAUUGGUCCAGAUUAUUGUGCAAAACUUUCAGGCAAUGUCUGACUUAAAUUUUGGCUUACUGAGAACAGCUGUUUUAGAUUUGUAUUGUGAAGCAAGAUAGGGCUGCUGUCCAGGUCUUAGAGGCAAUUUUUAAAAAUUGGUACAUAUUUUCUUUCCACUUCAUUGAAUUUGAACUGAUUGCACCAAAGAGUCCUUUAAUUCAGUCCUUGGCACAUGCAUACUUGUCAGCUUUUUAAAUCUUCCAUUUAACAGCAAUAUCUCAACUGGAAUGGUAAAAUGUGAAUUGACUAUUCCCAUUGUGACCCUUCCAACAGUGUAGAUAUUUUGACAUUUCAGCUAGUAGAACAACUCCUUUUGAGGUAUUUAUUUUAUAAGACACCACUCAUAUUGUUGCAGUAUGUUGUGUUCAGGACUGUAUAUCAAGUUGCAAUUUCACAACUCACAGCACAGAUUAUAUGCUUGGAUGAGGCCAUUUGUUUUGAAAAGAAGUGGUCUUGCUGCUUUUCAAAUGUGUGUGGCAGAUCUUGCAUAGAAGAGGUAAAAUAUAAGAGCUACAUUUGAAUUGUAUAUCAUCUGACCUGACAGUAAUGAAUGCUACUGAGCACCAUAGCACCUGGUGUUCUCAAAACCUCCUUGUUUAGCUUCAAGUUUAUAUUCUGCAAUAUUUUAGCCUGUUAAGAGAAACAUUGACAAGUAUCCAAACUCAUUUCCUGCAUCUAUUAUAGGCAGAAGGGUUUAUACGUCUGCCUGUUUACCUGCCUUUUUCAUGAGGUUGGGUUUCUGGAAAUAACUACGUUUUUCUCUGUAUUUAGUGCUUCAGUUGAUGGAACUUCUGCUUUGAAUAUGUGCUUUUAUAGUUUAUGAAAAAUAUGAUUUAUCAAGUACACUAAAUUAUAAAUGGAGACUGAACAAGUUCACUUUCCAACUAUACAAACUUGAACAUUGUUACUUUAAUAAAAUAAAAAUGUAUAUGGGGUAGGUUUCAUUGACAGUCACAGGACAUAAUUCUGAUAUAAAAAACAGCUUAUACCAGCUUUAUUGGUGCAAAGCAGAAUAGUAUUACCUUCCCCCAAAAUUAUCUUUUGAUCAGUGAGAAAGUUACUGCUGACAUUACAGAUGUAUAGUUUUUAUUUGGAAUUUUUUUUCCUUUUGGAGUAAAGAGGUUAUAAAUCAAUAAUGCAGUAUUAACAUUUUCACAAAAUCUGGAUUUCUGACCCUUUGUCAUUAAGAUUACAUUACUUAGUUGCUUUAAAACUCAAUACAAACCAGUUGUUGACUCUAAGGAUAAAUAAAGUUAAAUCAAGUUUU